GAUGAACGCUGGCGGCGUGCCUAAUACAUGCAAGUCGAGCGAACAGACGAUGAGCUUGCUCCUCUGACGUUAGCGGCGGACGGGUGAGUAACACGUGGAUAACCUACCUAUAAGACUGGUAUAACUUCGGGAAACCGGAGCUAAUACCGGAUAAUAUCUUGAACCACAUGGUUCAAUAGUGAAAGACGGUGUUUCUGUCACUUAUAGCUGAUUCGCGCCGCAUUAGCUAGUUGGUAGGGUAACGGCUUACCAAGGCGACGAUGCGUAGCCGACCUGAGAGGGUGAUCGCCCACACUGGAAGUGAGACACGGACCAGACUCCUACGGGAGGCAGCAGUAGGGAAUGUUCCGCAAUGGGCGAAAGCAUGACGGAGCAACGCCGCGUGAGUGAUGAAGGUCUUCGGAUCGUAAAACUCUGUUAUUAGGGAAGAACAAAUGUGUAAGUAAAUAUGCACGUAUUGACGGUACCUAAUCAGAAAGCCACGGCUAACUACGUG
rnacentral:rRNA from 1 species